rnacentral:lncRNA from 1 species
UGUGAGAAUUUUUUUUUUCAUGACAAAUUUCAUUAAAAUUUUAAAAAUAAAUCCAGACAUAAUUACAUCAAAGAAAUUAAGUAAAUAAAAGAGAUUCAAAUACAAAGGAAAAGAAAAAUAAAUAUAGUCCAAAUAUUUGAAAUCUUAAAAAUUCGAGAUUGCUACUGUCAGAGUCGCUCCUCCAUUGAAACUUCCAGCCACUUGAGUUUCUACAACGCCUUAAAGUUGAAGAAGAUGAAAUCUCACUGUAAUAUCCUAUAUAAGACCUAAAAAGUUUACUGAAGCACUAAUGAAGGAAAGGAAGAACCUAUCAAAGCUCAAACAAACCACCGCAGCAGAGAAAGAAGAGGAGAAGAUGAAGGAAAAAGCACAUGCAAACCAUUGAGGAUCUUCAGCCAAACAUCUCAAGGCUGAGGAGACUUCAAACAGACCUAGAAAGACAGAUGAUGAUGAUGUGCACUGAGGCAACCCAUUCACACUUUCACAGUGAGCCAUUUUCGAACCAAUCUUCGGCGAACAAUAACCCAAAUGUAGCUACAAAACCUAUUCAGCCUCAACCUCUAAAGGAAAAUGAAACCUCCAAACACAAUAUGAAAGGAAAAACAUAAUAAAGUUGCAGCCAUAAAGCCAAAGUCCUCAACAAUAAAGUUAUGCUGUAAAAUACCAACUAAACAAAAACAAAUAUAUACACCCCAUUCGGAGGGGAGAGGAAAAUCCGCAACCCGGCCGAAGAAGAGGAGAGCCUUCCCUGCUCAAGAAAGAUAGGGGAAGCCAGUGGUCAACACCGAUGAAGACGAGCUCCUCAAAAAGAAAAGAAGAAAAACAAGAAGAUUUUCUCUCUCUAAUUUGAAUUAAAAAGACAACUUGCAAGGUAGGAGUUAAGAGAAAUAGCUGUAAGCACUAACCAAUUCAAAUAAUACACACUGUAUCACUUGAU